rnacentral:lncRNA from 1 species
GGAAGACCAAGUAGGAGGCAAUUGCAAUGAUCCAAACCGAGAGAUUGUGGUGGUUUGGACCAAGAGGGUAGCAACGGAGGUAGUGAGAAGUGGAUCAACUCGGAAAAUGGUUUGAAGGUCCAACCCAGUCUCCUGUUAUGUGUGGAGUGGCACUCAGUGAAUGUCAGUGGGAGAGGCUGGGCUGCUUGUCCAAACAAGCCCGGGAGGAAGGCAGGACCAGAAGGGGGGGGGUCAUCAAUGGCAUUCCUGACGUUGGCUGGUAGUUCUGUCAUAUACUUCCACCUAUCACAAGGAAAACCAGAGCAUAAGCAGGAACUGCUAUUCUUUGAGUCAUGAGCUGGAAACAUCCACAUCAUCUUUGACGUUCUCGAGGACUUCAUCUCUUGCCUGAUGCAUUGCUGCUGCACCAGGCUCUGUCUCCUCAGUCUCGCCUCCCAGGCUUUAUUUACAGAUCAACCAUCUCGAAUCACAUCUCUGAUCACACUCUCCUCAAAUGUCUCUACUGAAUAAAGCUCAAGCUAUUUAACUUGGAUAAAGGACCUCCUUGUCCUCUUCUCAGUCUUAGGCUCCAAGUCCACGCCCCUUCACAUCCAUCACUCUUGUUGACCUCCUGAGUUUUUUGCUCAUGCUGGUUCCCCCCCACCCUUCUCUACAUACCGAAUCCUCUUCAUAAUUCAAGGCCCAAUUCAAG